rnacentral:lncRNA from 1 species
UAAUUGUAUAGUUCUUUUAUUUAGUCACUUAAUCUGGUGGAUACUAACAUGCUAUGUUGAAAUCCGACCUAAAGGUCGAGUGUAAGAACCUUAUAUAUGUUUCGAGAUGACAAUUGAGAAUUGUUAACUAUUUAUUACAUUUGCUUGCCAUUGUGCUCAUUCGCACAUGCUUGUGAGGGUCGCUCCCUACAAGCCGGCACUCCGGAGUUGGCCUACGCGACAGUUGCUCGCCCGUGCGGGAUUGGGUGCCGAAGUGGAUUGCCGUGGGGAGUGUAUACUACCACGGGGCCAUUAGGCGCGGUGCAAGCUGGACUACC